UACGUAGGGACCGAGCGUUGUCCGGAAUUAUUGGGCGUAAAGAGCUUGUAGGCGGUUUGUCGCGUCUGCCGUGAAAAUCCGAGGCUCAACCUCGGACUUGCGGUGGGUACGGGCAGACUAGAGUGUGGUAGGGGAGACUGGAAUUCCUGGUGUAGCGGUGAAAUGCGCAGAUAUCAGGAGGAACACCGAUGGCGAAGGCAGGUCUCUGGGCCACUACUGACGCUGAGAAGCGAAAGCAUGGGGAGCGAACAGG
rnacentral:rRNA from 1 species